ensembl:lncRNA BTN2A3P butyrophilin subfamily 2 member A3, pseudogene
AUGGAACCAGCUGCUGCCCUGCACUUCUCCCGGCCAGCCUCCCUCCUCCUCCUCCUCAGCCUGUGUGCACUGGUCUCAGCCCAGGUCACUGUCGUGGGGCCCACUGAUCCCAUCCUGGCCAUGGUGGGAGAAAACACUACGUUACGAUGCUGUCUGUCACCCGAGGAAAAUGCUGAGGACAUGGAGGUGCGGUGGUUCCAGUCUCAGUUCUCCCCUGCAGUGUUUGUGUAUAAGGGUGGAAGAGAGAGAACAGAGGAGCAGAAGGAGGAGUACCGAGGGAGAACCACCUUUGUGAGCAAAGACAGCAGGGGCAGCGUGGCCCUGAUCAUACACAAUGUCACAGCCGAGGAUAACGGCAUCUACCAGUGUUACUUCCAAGAAGGCAGGUCCUGCAAUGAGGCCAUCCUGCACCUUGUGGUGGCAGGGACACUCUCCCUAUGAAAAGAAGAUUCCAGGGAAAAAUCCUUCCUCCUGCACAAGGGCCACCAUGAGUGAGUUUGCCCUGCUAAGCCGUGGGCUUGACUUCUUGAGAAGCACAUGCAGAACUCAGUUGAGGCCAUGAGCCGGGGAAAAUGGUGAAUCUCGGAAGAGAAGUCCUAUGCCUGCCUUAGCACUGAGCUGUGCACUUCUGAGAGUGAGAGGAGACACCAUCAAUAAUUGUCUUGGGACAACUGGAAUAAACAGUGACUGCCCAGAGAACUACGAUAUUUGAAAUCUUAUUUCUUGAUGAAUAUUCAUCCUGACUUCUUUCCUGAAAUGCUGUUUGCAAAGAGAGUGACUUAUAUGACUGGACUCUGAGCCCGUCAUUGAAAUGAGAGACCACGAGGACGGGGGCAUCCAGCUGGAGUGCAUAUCUGGAGGGUGGUACCCAAAGCCCCUCACAGUGUGGAGGGACCCCUACGGUGAGGUCGUGCCUGCCCUGAAGGAGGUCUCCACCCCUGACGCAGACAGCCUCUUCAUGGUCACCACAGCUGUGAUCAUCAGAGACAAGUCUGUGAGGAACGUGUCCUGCUCUAUCAAUGACACCCUGCUCGGCCAGAAGAAAGAAAGUGUCAUUUUUAUUCCAGAAUCCUUUAUGCCCAGCAGGUCUCCAUGUGUGGUGAUCCUGCCUGUUAUCAUGAUUAUUCUGAUGAUACCCAUUGCCAUAUGCAUCUACUGGAUCAACAAUCUCCAAAAGGAAAAAAAAGAUUCUGUCAGGGCAAAAGGAGCUUGAACAGGAAAGGAAAGAAACUGCACUAAAGGAACUGGAGAAAGAACAUGUGGAAAAAGAGAAAGAACUUCAGAUAAACAGUAAAAGAGGCCAGAGCAACUUCUGAAGAAUUGCAUACGUUUAGCCUUUCCUGAACUACUCCAUGUACAAUUUGUGUUCUGCUCAUUUAGCAGCAUCUCAUGACAUUCAACCUCUGUCUGUCCCUUGCAGGAUGGAGAAGAACAUUCUUACAUGCUGGAGCCAGUGGGGUCACGGUGCCUGAAGAGGGCUGGACACUUCACAGAGCAGGGACCCACCACAGCCCACAGAAUCAGUUCCCCAGUCUCACAGCCAUGGAAACAAGCCCUGGCCAUCUCAGCAGCCACUGCACAAUGCCUCUGGUGGAAGACACGCCCUCCUCCCCUCUGGUCACACAAGAGAACAUCUUCCAGCUGCCUCUUUCACACCCACUCCAGACCUCAGCCCCUGUUCACCUCCUCAUUAGGUGUGGCUUUAGUAGUUCCUUUGGUUGUAACUAUGGGAUGGAAUCCAGGCAUAGGGAACUAGUUGUUCCACAGCUCCCAGCCAGGAAGAAAGUGUGAGAAGCUGAUUGGUAGUGAACCUGCUGUUUAACAUCACAGUGACUACAUUGAACCCAGUAUGCCAGUUGGCACCAGAUGCUGUGGACUUGGAAUGAGGCCAAGAGGAGUCGCCAGGAUGUGAGAGGAGAGAGGAAUCCACAGGACCACCAGAGGGUGAGUGAACCAGAUAUGCAGGUCAGAGAUAGACGAAGUGGAACCAGAGAGCUGGGAGGGACCAAGGUUGUAAGGGUGCUUAAGCCCCACCAUAACAGCUAAGGAGUCCCAGGAGAUGAUGGCUCAUUUCCACCCAACCCCAGGAUUUCCACAGCACACACCCACAGGCCUGGACCUGGGACGAAGAUGAAUGAAGAAUAUGGACAUGUGGAUGUGGUUUGGCUCACGUGUCCCUGCAAUAAACAAGGAGUCAGUACUCAGUCCUUGGGUGUGGUUGAGGCUUGAGGUCCUGAUUGAGCAAGGCAGUACUGGACAAGGUCUACAUCAGCAUUCAAGUUCAAUGGGGGGCACUAGUGGCUUCAAACUUCCUGGUCUAAUUAUGUCUUUAGACACUUAAUAACUACUGAGGGCCUUGAGGAGCUCUUGUUUAUUUGGGUUGAUAUUUGUUAAUAUUUAUGGCAUUUGACAUUAAAACAGAAAAUGUUAAAAUGUUAUUUACUAAUUCAUGUUAAAAUAUAAUGAAUGAACCAAAUGUAGGUUAAUAUAAAUAGAAUGCUUUCUGAAAAAUCAACUGUUGUGUCCAAACAAAAAAACAAGAAGUGUGACACUGGUUAA